rnacentral:rRNA from 1 species
GAUGAACGCUGGCGGCGUGCCUAAUACAUGCAAGUCGAGCGAACAGACGAGGAGCUUGCUCCUUCGACGUUAGCGGCGGACGGGUGAGUAACACGUAGGUAACCUACCUAUAAGACUGGGAUAACUUCGGGAAACCGGAGCUAAUACCGGAUAAUAUUUCGAACCGCAUGGUUCGAUAGUGAAAGAUGGCUUUGCUAUCACUUAUAGAUGGACCUGCGCCGUAUUAGCUAGUUGGUAAGGUAACGGCUUACCAAGGCAACGAUACGUAGCCGACCUGAGAGGGUGAUCGGCCACACGGGAACUGAGACACGGCCCAGACUCCUACGGGAGGCAGCAGUAGGGAAUCUUCCGCAAUGGGCGAAAGCCUGACGGAGCAACGCCGCGUGAGUGAUGAAGGUCUUCGGAUCGUAAAAAUCUGUUAUUAGGGAAGAACAAACGUGUAAGUAACUGUGCACGUCUUGACGGUACCUAAUCAGAAAGCCACGGCUAACUACGUG